CAGCAUGUUUCCAAGGGCUGUGGCUGUUGUGGCCAUGGGGUCUCCAACUGCAUGCGAGAGCAACCUGGAGAGACUUUGACAGCUCAGGUCAACCCAAUACCUGCAGCUGCCACUCACCUUUCCUAUAAAG
ensembl:snoRNA